UGGAGGACAGGCUCAGACAAUGCAGGAAGUUAGAAGUGUCUGGAGGGCAGGCUCAGGCAGGGAAAGGGGUUGAAAGUGUUGCGAGGAUGGCCUAUUACAGGGGAUUGGUUGUAGCUUACGUGCUUUGGAUGCAGUGAACUCAGACCUGGAUGAGAAGAGCCCAGUAAAGAAACUUGACUUCUCAACCUCACCGAGCUAUCAGGAGGAAAACAAUCUGUGUAUCUUAAAGCACUACACCAACCCGAGGCAGCCUGAUGAUUCCCUGGUCCUGGGGACUCAUCCCGUUGGUGGUGGUUUCAGCAGCUCAGAACUCUUGAAUGCGAGCAAAUCCACCCAGCCUCAGAUUCCUCAGUAGUAGGAAAUACAGGAAGUUGGAAAUUGGAAGGAUGCCCAUCAAUUGAGGAAUGACUGAACAAAUCGUGGUAUGUGAAU